rnacentral:snRNA from 1 species
AAAAUAAAUCAAUUCUGUAUGCUAGAAUUGGAACGAUAGAGAUAAGCAUGCCCCUGUGCAAGGAUGACAGGCAAAUUCGUGAAGCAUUCCAUGUUAAA